UCUCCUCUGGACCCUGCUGGGGAGGGACUGCUGAGCUCCUCAGGGCUGACGGGGGGUCCAGGGGCCUCCCCCAGGGAGAGGCCAGACCAGGACUCCGG
rnacentral:pre_miRNA from 1 species